CCUACGGGUGGCAGCAGUGAGGAAUAUUGGUCAAUGGGCGUGAGCCUGAACCAGCCAAGUCGCGUGAAGGAUGAAGGCACUUAGUAUUGUAAACUUCUUUUAUCCGGGAACAAAGUCGGACACGUGUCUCCUUUUGAGUGUACCCGAUGAAAAAGCAUCGGCUAACUCCGUGCCAGCAGCCGCGGUAAUACGGAGGAUCCGAGCGUUAUCCGGAUUUAUUGGGUUUAAAGGGUGCGCAGGCGGGAGAUAAAGUCAGCGGGAAAAUGUCGGGGCUCAACCCUGGCCGGCCGUUGAAACUGGCUUCCUAGAGUGGGAGGGAAGUAUGCGGAAUUCGUGGUGUAGCGGUGAAAUGCUUAGAUAUCACGAAGAACUCCGAUUGCGAAGGCAGCAUACCG
rnacentral:rRNA from 1 species